rnacentral:lncRNA from 1 species
GCUUCUUUUUGGUCUAAAAGUAUGUGUUUUUAGUAAUAGCAACUCUAGAACUUCAGAGGCAGUGUAAGUGUUGGUUCUAAUUGGUAACGUUACAUAUCUGAGGAUCACAGGGCUGCGGAAGUUAAGACAUCUAAUCGAGUGCUCGCAGAACAGCUCCUUUGAAACAGAACAUGCUUUCCUCUAGUUGUGGAUUAAGUGCAACCCUUUCACAGACUUAACAAUAAUAAUCCCUUGGCCUUCUUUUUCUGUUUUCUUAAAUAUAUGGUUUUAGUUGUAUCGGUUAGUUUCUAUUUAAUUUGGUAGAAUUUUUUAUUUCUAAAAUGUUUAGUCACCACAUUAAAAGGGGGCACAAUCUUCUAUUUGGUAUAAAAGCCUCUGUGCUACGGUUUGCCCAGGAUUUUCCUGAUUUUGACACUGAAAGUUCUGUGUCCCAGGAACCCCUUUAGUCACGAGCAAUGUGGGGCAGUUGGUUACCCUCAACUGUGGUAUAUUUUGGUGAAAUAUACUUUAGCUUUAAUGAGAAAAAGACAAUUAUCAUUUAAACACCAUCCUCUUUAGGUACAAAUAAUUCCCUGUGUGAGAUGUUGAAGGAGAGCAGCUGCCUCCCAUUGCUGGGCAGGGCCAGGCACACUCAGCUGCUUGGAACACAUGGCAGGAACGAAUUUCUGCUCAAGGCUUGGAUCAGGCAAUUGAUGCUUUCUGGAAGGGAAAUAAUGGCUGAGGAAACGUCGAUGUCAAUAUUUCUUCAUGGAGAAAAACACAUUUUGAUCUUUCUUCAUGGAGAAAAACACAUUUUGAUCUUUUCCUCAAACAAGUCAAUAAGGUAUCAGGUUCUAUUUGAAUCUUUUCCCUGGAAAACAUCUUACAAUUAUGAGAGUCUAAUAACUUUUUCUUGUAACAUUAAAUUGAGGCAAUUCCAAUGCUUCAAACAGUAUUUAUUUAAAAGGAGAUGGACAACCUCCUAAAAGUUGUUAGAUUUUCAUGAAAUGGAGAGACUGAGUGCAUCAAUGAGUUGGUAAUUAAUCACUUUUAAUUUCCCCUCUUAAGUCUCCUCCUCCAUACUGUCCCUCAGCCCAGGUAGCUCUCCAGGUAACAGGGUUUCACAAGCCCUGUGCACAUUCUCUAUCUCCAAGCAUUAAGGGGCCUUUUUAAUUCAUUCAACCAACAUUUUUUGAGAACCUCCUAUGUUCUAGGCAUUGUGCUAGUAACUGGGGUUACAGAAAUAACAACCUGCCCCACUCUUAACUCGGUGUUGCUUUAUAACUUCAUGGGAAAGAGGGACCCACACGUAAGUGAUUCCAUGUCAUGAAGUAUACUCUGAGUUUGUAAAACUUGCUUUGGGAACUUAGAGGAAGCCAUGCUUAGAACUGCCUCAGCUGACUCUUCCUUUCCGUGAAAACAAGCAUCCUUACCUUUCUGUACUGCUGUGAAGUUAUUUCAAACAUACAUACUUAUAUGUGUUUCCAGAUGAACAACUUUGGUUAUUUAGGGCAAAGAAUAUGAUUGGCCUGUCUUGGGCAGUUCUGGAGCUCUUGGUUUAUGAAGUAUCGCUUCCAAAGGGGCCAUAUGUAGGGAGUGAUGCAGGUGCCGUAUGCCAAGUGAAAGGGCCAUAUGACUGUGCUCCUGCUUCUCAGCCGCAGCUGAUUUGGUGAAUUUCCACCUUUCACUGUGCCCACCCCUUCCCUUCUCCCUUUAUAUGGGGUGCUCACAAGUACCAUUUCUGAGAACAGCCUUUGAAUUUAGAAAGGCUACAAAUCUAUAAAAGUGGCAUAAUUCUGUGAAUACAGGUUUGGGAACGUUUUAGUCGUGAAGGGAAACCUUUUCCUCUUGAGGAAAACUCAGCCUUGAGAGAUAGAUGGUUGGCAAUGAGCUAAAUCAGCAAAUCAAAUUUGACAUGUAUUGAAGAAAAUCAAAUUGUAGAGCGUGAAAGGCCUUUGAAGAUCAUCAGAUGCUAGUCUAAGCCACUUAGCAACGGACGCAUUCAGUGAUCUUUCGCGGCCACACGAAUCGGCAGAAUCAGAAAAUAUUCGCUGUCCAGAUUCCCUCCUCACUACAAAGGCCCCUCCUCUGGGGCUCCCCCUACCUUUCCACUGUCUAGCAACUAAAGGGUGAACACCAGGCACAGCUUGGGAGCCUUCAGGCUUUAAACCCCACUCCUGCUCCAAGCUGCUUUGUGUUUGCUCAGUAUCCAUGGUAUCGUGAUAUUUUGAGCAUCUCCCCCGGAAGGCUGAGUACAAUUCCAGCAGGAGGUGAGGACAGCAACCACUGCUUCUGGUGGGAGGAGGGAUGUGAGCAGCCACACAAAGGCUGGAGUCGGAGGAUGUUCUGGAAAGCAGGAGGCGGUGGUCAUGGUCACGGCAGGAGCAGGAGAAUUUGAAGGUCGUUUGAGGCCAAGUAAGGAUGCCUUGCUUCCCACAUCUCUCUGAGCAUCAUGAGAUGAACAGGAGCAGGACUGUAGGGGAAGAAGUGGAAGUAGGAGAUCCCCAGGAGCCGUUUCCAAGUCCACAACACUCAGUGCUCGGGAGGCUGGAGAGAAUGCUGGGGAGAGUGGCGCCAGAAGCCAUCGUCAAUGAUGGCAUUGAACUGAACACCUGGCGCCCGCUCUACAUACAUCAGACCCCGGGCAAGGCCCUGCGGGUGCACAAAGAGCAAGGCAUGGUUUCUGCCCCCAAGGAACCUGCACCUCCAUAGGGAGCACAGAGCUGCACGCCCAGGUGUUCAGGGCAGAAGAAAGAAAGUGGUCCAGGGUACUCGCAGCCAAGGCACCCUCAAGUGUCCCAGCAGCAGCAAAUGAAACUCCAGUCAGACAGUUGAAGCACCUUCAGUGAGGAAUCACUUCAUGAAUCGCAUGGCAGGGUGAAGAGAACCCAGAGGAGCCCUGGGCUUGGAGACCAGACAGUGGGAAGCCGUGACCAUCGUAGGCCUGAAGGGGCGGAGGAAGAACAGCCUCGUUGGAGCCCAGUGGCCGCUGGAGCCACGGCAGGGGGGCCACCUGCGGAGUAGGUGGGGAUCUCUAGGGGCUGAGUUGAGUCCCUCUUCCCCAAAUUCCUAUGAAGCACCUCAGAAUGUGAGUGCAUUUGGAGAUCGGGCCUUUCAAAAGGUAAGUCAGGUCAAAUGAGGCCAUCAGGGUGGCCUGGAUCCAAUCCGACUAAUGUCCUUACAAGAAGAAGAGGUGGGGACACAGAGACACAGAGGGAAGCCCAUGUGAGAACACAGGGAGAAUGAGCCAAGGAGAGAGGCCUCAGAGGAAACACACUCUGCCUACACCUGCCUCUUGAACUUCCAGCCUCCGGCCUCACAGACAGCCUCACUGAGAGCCACUUCCAGUCCUGUUGUCAGCAGUGGAAGGUAAUGCUGGGCGUAAAGGCCAGAUGAAGGCAAGGACUCUUAAAUUUGACUGGAAGAGUGAAUUAUACAUGUCAUGCAGUAGGCCUCUUUCUAAUCUAUCAUUUCAAAUUUGUCAGCUUAAAUAGGCAACGGAUAUUGAGGAAGUGAACUAUGCGAUGUCCUGAAUUGUAGAGAUAAUUUUUAAAAGUCAAUGUAUGCUAAAUAAGUAACCUCAAAGAUGGUUUUAUGAGAUCUUAAUUUGAAAUAAUUUAUUUUAUCAUGCACCUCAUUUCCAGUAGUUUGGUAGUUCUGACAACCCCAGCUGUGCUCAGCAGAUAGCCUUAGGAAUGAAACGGUAUGAAAGAGAGACAGCCUCAUCGAGAGAUGGCUCUCAGUCCUCCUGAAAGUUCUUUGCAAUAACAUCCAUGCAGUUAUACUGUUGGUCAAAUAAUGUCCCUAACAUAUAUUUAGAGAAUAAUAAAGAUAAGGCACUGUCUUUAUUAUUUAUUACAACAGAGGAACCUAUGUGCUUUGCAAGACCAAUUAAAGAAGAUUCUAAUGCAUACAUUUAAAGCUCUGUUUUAUUAUGUCCUUACUGAGAUUUCUACUCAUAAAGAAAGACAGAUGAGGAGUUGAAAAUAUACAGAAUGGCAGGAGUACUGCCCCCACUCUAACAAGUAAAAACUAGAUAUACCAUAGAAUUGUAACUUUUCCUGAGCGCAUCAAAUACCUGAGGUCAUAGGGUAACCAAAUAGUUCCAAAUCCAAAAAAAA